GGCCGGAAACGGAGCAGCGAACGCCGCGGUCGCGAACGCG
rnacentral:SRP_RNA from 13 species